rnacentral:rRNA from 1 species
UACGAAGGGGGCUAGCGUUGUUCGGAAUUACUGGGCGUAAAGCGUGCGCAGGCGGCCAUCCAAGUCAGUGGUGAAAGCCCGGAGCUCAACUCCGGAAUUGCCAUUGAAACUGUUUGGCUCGAGUACGAGAGAGGUGAGUGGAAUUCCCAGUGUAGAGGUGAAAUUCGGUAGAUAUUGGGAAGAACACCGGUGGGCAAGGCGGCUCACUGGCUCGUAACUGACGCUCAUGCACGACAGCGUGGGGCAAACAGG